rnacentral:rRNA from 1 species
GACGAACCGUGCGAACGUUAUUCGGAAUCACUGGGCUUAGAGCGCGUGUAGGCGGGCCGGCACGUCGGUCGCUGAAAUCCCCCGGCUCAACCGGGGAAUGGGCGCCGAUACGACCGGCCUGGAGGGGCGUAGGGGGACCUGGAACUUCCGGUGGAGCGGUGAAAUGCGUUGAGAUCGGAAGGAACGCCCGUGGCGAAAGCGAGGUCCUGGACGCCAUCUGACGCUGAGACGCGAAAGCCAGGGGAGCAAACAGG